rnacentral:lncRNA from 11 species
CAGCAGGUGAAAAAGGUGAUAUGAUGGGCAGGGGAGGAUGGGCAGGGAUGUGCGGAUUCCACAGAUAACCACUCGAAGAAACAUGGUUACAGUUGUUGCCUAAAUUCUCAUCUGGCAAUGCAAGGAAACUGGAGAAAUCGGCUGGCAGCCCUGUGGAGAUCAAUCAGCAAUCUGUCACUUGGAGAAACAUGUUGGCAACCUGCCUAUACAGGAGCAACAAAGAUAAAUGAAAGCAGGGUACAUAGGAAAGACUGCCAGAAUCUGCAUUGAGGAACAUAGCCUUGAAUGACUUUACUAGAGCCAGACAGUUUUAGGAAUGAUUGUUAUUGACAUUGGUCUAUUGUUAGCAGGUGAGUGUACAGCGGAAUCAGCAGCGUCCAGUUAACAGCAUGUGCAAAAGACUCAGACCAGGCAGAGGAAUUGAAAGAACAAAAGGAAACUUUAC